rnacentral:rRNA from 1 species
AUUGAACGCUGGCGGCAUGCCUUACACAUGCAAGUCGAACGGCAGCACGGGUGCUUGCACCUGGUGGCGAGUGGCGAACGGGUGAGUAAUACAUCGGAACGUACCUUACCGUGGGGGAUAACGCAGCGAAAGCGGUGCUAAUACCGCAUACGCCCUGGGGGGGAAAGCGGGGGAUCGCAAGACCCCGUGCGAUUAGAGCGGCCGAUGCCUGAGUAGCUAGUUGGUGGGGUAAAAGCCCACCAAGGCGACGAUCAGUAGCUGGUCUGAGAGGACGAUCAGCCACAGUGGGACUGAGACACGGCCCAGACUCCUACGGGAGGCAGCAGUGGGGAAUUUUGGACAAUGGGGGCAACCCUGAUCCAGCAAUGCCGCGUGAGUGAAGAAGGCCUUCGGGUUGUAAAGCUCUUUUGUCAGGGAAGAAACACCGGCUCUAACACAGUCCGGGAAUGACGGUACCUGAAGAAUAAGCACCGGCUAACUACGUGCCAGCCGCCGCCGUAA